rnacentral:rRNA from 1 species
UACGGGGGGAGCAAGCGUUGUUCGGAUUUACUGGGCGUAAAGGGCGCGUAGGCGGCACCGCAAGUCGACUGUGAAAUCUCCGGGCUUAACCCGGAAAGGUCAGCCGAUACUGCGGGGCUAGAGUGCAGAAGAGGCGACUGGAAUUCUCGGUGUAGCGGUGAAAUGCGUAGAUAUCGAGAGGAACACCUGCGGCGAAGGCGGGUUGCUGGGCUGACACUGACGCUGAUGCGCGAAAGCUAGGGGAGCGAACGGG